UACGUAGGGGGCAAGCGUUGUCCGGAAUUAUUGGGCGUAAAGCGCGCGCAGGCGGUCGUUUAAGUCUGGUGUUUAAUCCCAGGGCUCAACCCUGGUACGCACUGGAAACUGGGCGACUGGAGUGCAGAAGAGGAGAGUGGAAUUCCACGUGUAGCGGUGAAAUGCGUAGAGAUGUGGAGGAACACCAGUGGCGAAGGCGACUCUCUGGUCUGUAACUGACGCUGAGGCGCGAAAGCGUGGGGAACAAACAGG
rnacentral:rRNA from 1 species